ACUCCUACGGGAGGCAGCAGUGGGGAAUAUUGCACAAUGGGCGCAAGCCUGAUGCAGCAACGCCGCGUGAGGGACGACGGCCUUCGGGUUGUAAACCUCUUUUAGUAGGGAAGAAGCGAAAGUGACGGUACCUGCAGAAAAAGCACCGGCUAACUACGUGCCAGCAGCCGCGGUAAUACGUAGGGUGCAAGCGUUAUCCGGAAUUAUUGGGCGUAAAGAGCUCGUAGGCGGUUUGUCGCGUCUGCUGUGAAAACUGGAGGCUCAACCUCCAGCCUGCAGUGGGUACGGGCAGACUAGAGUGCGGUAGGGGAGAUUGGAAUUCCUGGUGUAGCGGUGGAAUGCGCAGAUAUCAGGAGGAACACCGAUGGCGAAGGCAGAUCUCUGGGCCGUAACUGACGCUGAGGAGCGAAAGCAUGGGGAGCGAACAGGAUUAGAUACCCUGGUAGUCCAUGCCGUAAACGUUGGGAACUAGAUGUAGGGACCAUUCCACGGUUUCUGUGUCGCAGCUAACGCAUUAAGUUCCCCGCCUGGGGAGUACGGCCGCAAGGCUAAAACUCAAAGGAAUUGACGGGGGCCCGCACAAGCGGCGGAGCAUGCGGAUUAAUUCGAUGCAACGCGAGGAACCUUACCAAGGCUUGACAUAUACCGGAAAAGUUCAGAAAUGUUCUCCCCGCAAGGUCGGUAUACAGGUGGUGCAUGGUUGUCGUCAGCUCGUGUCGUGAGAUGUUGGGUUAAGUCCCGCAACGAGCGCAACCCUCGUUCUAUGUUGCCAGCACGUAAUGGUGGGAACUCAUAGGAGACUGCCGGGGUCAACUCGGA
rnacentral:rRNA from 1 species